rnacentral:lncRNA from 1 species
ACCCUUUCCCUUCCUCACCUCCAAUAGCCCCCGAGCCACCAUAGCUAAGCACCGCCACCAUUUCUCCUCUUAAAAGUUAUUGAUUUUUGAUUUUUCUUCUCCUAUUUCAUCUUCGAUCAACCUCUUUUGUCGCUGAAAUUCUCCACCGUCGAUCGUGACCCACCACUGCCAUCACCUCUGGUAAGCUCUCCUCCCUUCCUUCCCUUCAUUUUGACCUUGAGUGCUGAAGCCUUGGUAGUAAGGGGCAACAUCUCUUUUCUCUCUCUCCACUCCCCUAGGCAUGGUCGGACCAUCAGCACUUCAGCCGCGCCACCAUUGUCGGCCACCACCAACCCCAC